rnacentral:lncRNA from 1 species
UUUGAGUGAGUUUCUUAAUCUUGAGUUCUAAUUUGAUUGUGCUGUGGUCUAAGAGACUUAUGAUUUCAGCUCUUUUGCAUUUGCUGAGGAGUGUUUUAUUUCCAAUAAUGUGAUCAAUUUUAGAGCAAAUGCCAUGUGGAGCCAAGAAGAAUGUAUAUUCUGUUGUUUUUGGGUGGAGAUUUCUGUAGAUAUCUGCCAGGUCCCCUUUAUCCAGAGCUGAGCUCAGGUCCUGAAUAUCAUUGUUAAUUUUCUGUCUUGAUGAUCUAAUAUUGACAGUGGGGUGUUGAAGUCUCCCACUAUUACUGUGUGGGACUCUAAGUCUCAUUGUAGUCUCUAAGAACUUGCUUUAUGAAUCUGGGUGCUCCUGUAUUAGGUGCAUAUAUAUUUAGGAUAGUUAGCUUUUGCUGUUGAAUUGAACCCAUUACAUUAAUGUAAUGCCCGUCUUUGUCUUUUUUGAUCUUUGUUGGUUUGAAGUCUAUUUCAUCAGAAACUAGGGUUGCAACCCCUGCUUUUUUCUGCAUUCCAUUUGCUUGGUAAAGUUUCCUCCAUCCCUUUAUUUUGAGCCUAUGUGUGUCUUUGUAUGUGAGAUGGGUCUCCUGAUUACAGCACACUGAUGGGUCUUAAUUCUAUCCAGCUUGCUAUUCUGUGUCUUUUAAUUGGCACAUUUAGCCCAUUUACAUUUAAGGUUAAUAUUGCUGUGUGUGAAUUUGAUCUGGUCAUCAUGAUGCUAGCUGGUUACUUUGCAGACUUGUUAAUGUAGUUGCUUCAUCGUGUCAUUGGUCUGUGUACUUCAUUGUGUUUUUGUAGUGGCUUGUACUGGUUUUUCCUUUCCAUAUUUAGUGCUUCCUUCAGGAGCUCUUGCAAGGGAGGCCUGGUGGUGAUGAAUUUCCUCAGCAUUUGCUUGUCUGAAAAGGAUUUUAUUUCUCCUUCCCUUAUGAAGCUUAGUUUGGUUGGAUAUGAAAUUCUGGGAUUGUAUAAUAUAUUCAUAUUAAACAGAAUUAGUUGAUUAUAUUAAAUAAUCAUAAAUGUAGAUAGAAACAUGUAGAUGCAUUGUGUUAUACGUUAAGUACUUUUCCAGAAUGUUCACAUUUACUUUACAGUUCACACUGUUGCAGUUAUAGUUAAUGAAGUAAUAAAAUGAUAUGUAAAUUGCUUCACCUUUUCACCUACUUAUAUGGGAAAAAAAUUGCUUGAGUAAUAACUUUUAGGAAAGAUAUCUAGAAGCACUGCAAGUAACUUGUACUUGCAUUUGUGUUUUUCCUUAUUUGUCUCUUUUAUCUCAUUCCCAUGUGAGAUGAAUGAAAGGAUUUCCCUGAAACGAGCAGGUAUACAGGAGAGCAUAAAGGGCUUAUGCAACUAAAUGCUUCACCCCUUGACCUUUCAUUUUCAUCAUUAAAGACUUAUUCCUUUGGGUCUCAAAGAUUUAAACUACAAUGGAAACUUAUUGAAAUGCAAAUAUUCCUGGGAGAAAUAACAUCUUAAAAUGUAAUCUGCUGAUUUUUUAAGCAAUUAGUUAACUGCAGGUGAGAGAAGAAGAGAAGCAAAGAAUAGACUUUAGAGGUAGAAGAUGAGAACAAUGGACAGGAGAAAAGAAUGUUAGAGGCACCAAAUGUAAAAUAUACCCAAAUUUUAUUUAGAGUCAAUCAUCUCAUUUAAAAAGUUUUAGAUUUUUCCUUAUAUGUGAAAACUGCAAACUACAAAGGCUAGCAUAUAAUUGUGUGUAUGUCCACAACCUGGUAUUCU